UACAGAGGUGGCAAGCGUUGUUCGGAGUUACUGGGCGUAAAGGGUGCGUAGGCGGCGGGGUAAGUCGGAUGUGAAAUCCCGGGGCUCAACCCCGGAACUGCAUUCGAUACUGCCUUGCUCGAGUACUGGAGAGGAGACUGGAAUUUACGGUGUAGCAGUGAAAUGCGUAGAUAUCGUAAGGAAGACCAGUGGCGAAGGCGAGUCUCUGGACAGUUACUGACGCUGAGGCACGAAGGCCAGGGGAGCAAACGGG
rnacentral:rRNA from 1 species